GUUUGCCUGGGGUCUGAGAAAGUCAGCAUGUGCUAUUGAUCGGAAGCACCACGAUUGGCGUACAGGCUGCUGAAUGACCACCAGAGUCUGCUGAGUCACAACAGUGUGGAUGUCAAUGGCCAAACAUACCCCAGCAGUCUUGUGAGAGAAGAAAUCUACCAUCUGUCCCUGGAAAUAGCCAGGAGUGGGGCAUCCUCCCCGGCCGGAACAGCUGGGUCGGCAGGCCACCGACCUUCAUCAUCCCCAGCAGGAGGAUGUAGGGGAGACAGAGGACCACACUGCCAGAAAGACAAGGAAAACACAUGGAGCGCAUCUUGUGCUGC